UUUUAAUCCCCUUUUUAUUUAAUCCACGUAUGUCUUUGAGGUUCUGGUGAUAUUGUUGUUUAACUUUGAUGUUUGCUUUUUUAUUUUUAACUUUUCUACAAAAGAGUCUAUUCGAACAUUGUUGGAAGAUUUUUCAACGGUUUUAAUAGAAUGUUAGUGCUCGGUGUGAAGUUAGCAGUAUAAAAUUGAACAUAAAAUAUCUAAGCAGGGUUCCAACAAAUUCCA